CCUACGGGUGGCUGCAGUGAGGAAUAUUGGUCAAUGGCCGCAGGGCUGAACCCUCCCCGUCGCUUUCUUUCUUCCUUUCCUCUUUCUUUUCCCCCUCUUUUGUCAGGGAGCAAAGGGCGCCACGUGUGGCGUUUUGCGAGUACCUGAAGAAAAAGCAUCGGCUAACUCCGUGCCAGCAGCCGCGGUAAUACGGAGGAUGCGAGCGUUAUCCGGAUUUAUUGGGUUUAAAGGGUGCGCAGGCGGAAUGUCAAGUCAGCGGUAAAAUUUCGGGGCUCAACCCCGUCGUGCCGUUGAAACUGGCGUUCUUGAGUGAGCGAGAAGUAUGCGGAAUGCGUGGUGUAGCGGUGAAAUGCAUAGAUAUCACGCAGAACUCCGAUUGCGAAGGCAGCAUACCGGCGCUCAACUGACGCUCAUGCACGAAAGCGUGGGUAUCGAACAGGAUUAGAUACCCGGGUAGUC
rnacentral:rRNA from 1 species